UCAAUUUUUGUUUUAAUUGAUGGAAACCAGCUGAAAGGCGAGUUCAUGAAAAAAUGAUUGUACGUCGCAAAUGAUAGUAUGUAACUGGAUUCUUGUCAUUCUUACAGUGAGAAAUUAAUCAGCUCAUGACGUUAUUAUAGACGUGAUGACAGGAGGAAUGUGUUGAAAAGAUAAUUAGAUAAACCUCAUCUUGUAACGAACUAGAAUGUACAGAGAACUACAUUUAUCAUGAUACUAUUAUUUAUAUUUUUGGAGUUGAGAUCCACUGAGUUGUCAUUUAUUUUUCACUAACGGCAUUCACCCACCCAAUUUCCUUCACCCACCAAUCUGAUAACAAACCUCAGAUGUCCCUCCUCCCAUAACUACAUUCCUUCGCUGUACUUGUUUAGUCUGCCCGGAUGAAGACAAAGAUCACAAAGUAAAACAUCAUAUAGAGAAAUGAUUCAGCUGAGGAUCCAAAAUCCUUUCAAAAGGAAGCUUCAUGUGACUGUAGAGGCUGUUAUCGGUGGUUCUGUUGUCCUGCCGUGUUCUGGAAUUGCAUCGUUUAGCCAGGUUUCUGUAAAACACAGAGCAGCACAGUUUGAAAAACCCCUAUUAGUCCGGGUAAGUCCAUUUUGUUGGGUAGAGAGCGGAGGUUCGCCAAGUGAAUGCUGGGCAACGGCGUUCGGAGUCCACGUUGUCUGAGUUUCACAAGCGCGCCGGAGUGGUCUGCCAAAUGUUCAGCAGUUCAUCCUUUGUAAAAACUAUGGUAUUUGAUGAACAAAAAAACAGGAAAAACUAACAAAAACAAUACGAGCAUUUGAGAACUGCCAUUCGCGGACAUAGGAAUGCAGAUAUAGGAAUGGAAAAGAGGUAAAGUAUUAGAUACAAAAUUAAUGAUAUUCAAAAUACUGUAAUUAAAAUUGAAAAGUUUACACGUCACAAAAUGUUAUUUAGCCAUGUGACAUGCUUUUUACUGGGAAAGAACAACUUGCUACAGAAAUCUUAUGUGGUUGCUUUUUUGAACAAGUAGUUUUUUUGUAUGUACAUUCUCAAAAAAAAUCCUCAGAAAAAUGUAACAAAAUCUGCAUAUAGGUAAAACAUGUUUUACAUUUUUUUUCCCACAGCCACGUAUUUAAUAAUCCACAGAGUUUAAGACAAGAAGGUAACCACAAGUACACAGACGAGGGAGAACUGAACGGACUAGAACUUAUAUUGGGGAGAUAAUGACAUUAAUUAACACAACACACCUGAACACAAAUGACACAAUCAAGGGGAGAAAUAAGCAUUUUCUCAAAAGGCAUUUCUUUUAUGCACAAUAUGUGAAAUAAUGUGAUUAACAUGAUGAUAAUGUGAAAAAAAUAGAUGUCUGUUGGAUCCUUAAAAAACUGCAUUAGAUUAGCAUUUUUAGCUCUUUUUAUUCAUAUGGUCUUUGUUUUGCUGGUGUACUUGACUUGAUUUAAUAGUCGCUGACUAUAAAAUUUCCUGCAAUUCUGGACGAUCAAUGAAAUGUUGGUUAACCUAGUUAUUAAAUCCUAGUUAACCUGGUUGCCUGUCAUGAAUGACCUUGCAGAGGGCAGUAGAAGAGAGCUGAUACAAACAGGAUAGAUAAAUAUGAUGUUAAAACUAUCUUUACAGAAGUCUUUGAUUUUUCAGUAUAAAUGAAAACAGGCAGCAUCCAUAUGCAGAGUUUAUUAAUCAAUAUCAAACAAGCAGAAGCAGCAUCUCAUCGCACACAAAGCAUGAGCUUUCUUUUGAAUGUGUUUUCACUCACGGUAAGACCCCGGUAAGAGAAGGUGGAAAAAAAUAUUGCAUAAUGCAUAAUAUUAGCGCUUCUUUGGUGUUAGAAGUAUAUUUCGUAAUGCCAUAUAGUGCUAAAAUGAGUGUAAAUAUUACACCAGAUAAAAACAAAAACUUGUGUUAGGCCCAUUUAUACGCCAGAAUAGACUUGAGUACGACAUGCAGUGUGUAAAUGUGUUUGUCAUAUAUAUUUCACAUAUACAGUGUCAUAUACAUUUCAUAUAAUCAUCCAAACCUGUAAUACCUUCAUAAUUAAUGACAGAAUUUAAAUGUUUUCGGUCAACUAUCCCUAAGACUAACAAUAAACAAGAGGUAUUUCAUCAAAAUGUAAAAAAAAAAAAAAAAAAAAAGUUUACUGUAAAUUUAUUCAUUCUCCGGCUAAUAAGAUGUAGAUGGAAUUUUUUUUUUUCUUCGGUACAACAUUAAAAGAGAAAUACUGCAAUGCUGGAUGGGUGACUGUGAGAACUAUAUUAAAAUAAAAGUUUCACCUCUGCACUCGUUUCACAGUUAAACCUUCACUCGAGACAAAGGUGAGAGUUGUUGGUUGUCAAGUGUCAAAGCAGUGGAAAAUGUUUUUGGUUUUGGUUUAGCACUUCAGCGGCUGACUUUAGUUAUUAUAUUGUUAUUUUUUAUUAUUACUUACAAUAAAUAUUGAAAUAGUGCUAUUGAAGUAAAAUGCUGUUUAUAGAUUAUAGACGGAUUGUAGCUAGAUAUUUCUCCAGUAGAUUAUCAGGAGUGACAUGCUCAAACACACACAAAAACAUACAUGAAAAUAAUUAAGCAACUUUAUAAUAAGAGUGUUUUUCAUAAAUGUCACGUCAGGACAAGUGUAUGAUUUCGAAUUUAAAAUAUAUAUAUAUAUAUAUAUAUAUUAUUCCUGAUUUCUAUUUGAAUGAUUACGUAUACGCAUAGAUAUUUCUCAAAUUAAACAUUUUAAAAUCCAUGCAUAUACUAUACACCGUUUAAACAGUAGGGAAAAAAAAAGUGAUAGAAAACACAACAUUUAACACAACAUCGUUUGACUCUUGAAAGAUUUAAUUUAUAUGCAUCAGUUUAAUCAUCAGGUGAUUAUGAUCACCAGUCUUUAGAAAGAAUACUGAAAUAUGAAAAAUCAAAUAUAAUAUGUACACACUCACCAGCCACUUUAUUAGGUACACCUUACUAGUACCAGGUUGGACCCCCUUUUGCCUUCAGAACUGACUUAAUCCUUCGUGGCAUAGAUUCAACAAGAUACUGGAAACAUUCCUCAGAGAUUUUGGUCCAUAUUGAUAUGAUAGCAUCACGCAGUUGAUGUAGAUUUGUCGGCUGCACAUCCAUGGUGUGACUUACCAGCCACUUUAUCAUAAGUGUAUAUUUGAAUAUUUGUAUAUUUGUAUAUAUUUAUAAAAAAAUAUAUUAUUUACAUUUUUAAGGAAAAUUACAGUUUUUAUUUAUCUGAGUUAAGGAAAAAUCUGCAAAAUAAAUAUAAAAACAUUUUGUAAAUAUAAAAACAGUGUCCACCGUGGUAUGCUGAAAAUCAAUAUUAGUAUUUUUAGCUACAAUCACACAAAAUGAACCAAAAUAAAGUUAUAUAGAUGCUGUUCUACAGGUGAGCAAGAAUGCUCAAUAAUUAUCAAGGCAGAAAUUAAUUUUAGUAAUAAGACUGGAUUCACAGUUUUUUAAGUGCAGAUGUUCCUGAUGUUGUAGAUCAGCGUUGAGUUGCGAUUGAUUUAAAGAUCUUUUGUUUCCAACGAAAACAUUUAAUAGUCCUAGAAACAGAACAGUUUACUAGAUUCAGUAUAUUUACAAUAACAGUUGUACAAUAAUAAUGCAGUUGCCGAAAAAUACAUUUAUGAUAUAGAUGGCUAAAAAGCAACUCACCGAUCAGCAGAAUGAGCAGAAGUCCAUUCACCAGAGCAGAUAUGAUAAUAAUAGUCCGCCAAUGUGUUUGAUCAGUAUAUUCAGUCACUGUUUGGUUGUGACACUGAGUUGGUUCUGUAAUAAAAAUGUCCACAAUCUCUGAAUGUAUAAUUGUUCUUAAUGAAUAUUUAAAAGCUGUAAAUAGUUAAUGACUAGUGUGUAUGUAAGCAGUGAUUAUUGAUCACUACAGGAGUAAAUGGACUCACCGUUGAAGUAUAUUCUGGUGCUGUUGCUGAGUUUUGGAGGUGUCCGUGCGUACAUACAGUAAUAAACUCCUAAUUCAUCAGCAGUUAUAUUAUUAAUAACCAGACGAUGUUUAAACUGCACCGAAUAUUUCUUUCUGAAUGAUUUAUUAGGGUAAAAAGAUGAUGUUGAGAACGAUCGUAGGAUGACUGUUGGAGGAUCUGCUGUUUUCAGUAAAAUCCAAUAAACCUCAUUUUCAUCAAGA